rnacentral:rRNA from 9 species
UUUAAUUGAAGAGUUUGAUCAUGGCUCAGAUUGAACGCUGGCGGCAGGCUUAACACAUGCAA